GAUGAACGCUGGCGGCGUGCUUAACACAUGCAAGUCGAACGGCAAAGCCGUAGCUUGCUGUGCUGGUCGAGUGGCGAACGGGUGAGUAACACGUGAGCAACCUGCCCUUGACUUUGGGAUAAGUUCAGGAAACGGCGUCUAAUACCGGAUAGGAGCUGCUACUGCAUCGUGAGCAGUGGAAAUUAUCUGCGGUCGGGGAUGAACUCGCGGCUUAUCAGCUUGUUGGUGGGGUAGUGGCUUACCAAGGCGUUGACGGGUAGCCGGCCUGAGAGGGUGACCGGCCACACUGGGACUGAGACACGGCCCAGACUCCUACGGGAGGCAGCAGUGGGGAAUAUUGCACAAUGGGCGGAAGCCUGAUGCAGCAACGCCGCGUGAGGGACGACGGCCUUCGGGUUGUAAACCGCUUUUGGCUGUGACGAAGCGGGAGUGACGGUACCGGGAGAAGAAGCACCGGCUAACUACGUG
rnacentral:rRNA from 1 species